UAUUUUGGUGGGAAGAAUCCUUGCACAAUGUAUACGUGUAUGAAAUCAUUUUGAUAAACACUUUAAAUACCUUACAAUUUGACUUGUCAAUUAUACCUCAAUAAAACUGAGGAAAGAUGGAGAGAGCUCAGUGCGAAUGUAUCAUUUAGAGUUACCCAGUAAACAUCAGAGAAGGGAGUAGUGGAGACUCUGGGAAGGGGGUCAGCCCCAGCAAGAGGGGCCGGGGGUGGGCACAGUUGCUUCUCGUUAUCAAGUCCCUCUGCCAGGAUCUCAUUUCUUUAUGUCACCCCGUGCUUAUUUGGAAUUUUUCGAAUUUUUCUUUUUUUUUCAGAAUGGUGGCCUCAUAGUUCAAAGUCAUCUGCAGUGGCUAUACAUUCAUCUGGAUAACAAGCCCUCAGGCAAAACUCGGGCUUCAUCCAGCCCGCAAAGCUCAGACUCUCUUCUCCGUGUUGAAUUGAUGCACAGACUUCACAGGUAUCUGCCCCUCUUCCCUCCUAAAGGAGACCCACAGUUCUUCCUCCUCAGGUUGAAUACCCAUGAAGUUGGCCCUGCCUUCAUGUCAAAAGCGAUACGUGAACUCAACACUCGUACAUGGUUCUGAAAGUGCAGGUUGUCCGAUCUCCUGCCUGCCUGCUGGACUCCACGUCGUCACCUGCCUUCCACAGCCCCUUUCCCAGUCCCGGGAGGCCGCCGCGCCGUCCG